rnacentral:tRNA from 1 species
AAGGGAGACCUAAUUCAGGUAGGCGACGAAAAAAAAGUAGUCGCUACCAAGAAUCAAUCCCAAAAGAUCGGAGCGAGGCAAGAUUGGCUUUCAAACUAGGUUCUGGGUUCACACAAGACCUGAAUCAGGAACAAGGGCUAUUAGCUCAGGUGGUUAGAGCGCACCCCUGAUAAGGGUGAGGUCCCUGGUUCGAGUCCAGGAUGGCCCACCUGCACAGGUGGAAAAAAGAAAAGAAGCUCCGAAUCAGCACCUUAUCUUACUUAUAUAGUAAGAGAGAAUGCUGGCUCUGAGUUCAGAGUCCAGAGGAACCUUGAAAACUGCAUAGAGCUAGGUGAAAAAGCCAAAAAAGAAGACCGCAA